AAAAAAAAAAAUGGGUACUGCCUUAACCAAUUCCACGGAUACAGAAUUUAAAUUUGCCGUGUAAAAAAGGGUGAAAUAAUAGCAGCAGAAAAAAAUAAAUAAAUUAUAAUUUCAGAAUUAAUUAAUGGCUAGUAGGUAGAAGAACCCUAUGCACCAUAAAAAGAUUCCUUUUUUUCUGUUCGCCGCCGAUGAUACUUCUUUCCCUAAAAUCGGCGGUGAUGAUAAGUGGCUUGGUGGACUGAAAAUUUCCGGCGAAUUAACCGGCGAUAGAGAUAUCUCCGGCGGUGAAGCCACCACUGGUUCUCCUCCUCCACCACUACCAAUUGGAUUCUUCCCAAAGAACUCUUGAGGCAACAAUACUUUCGAUACCCCAAAUAUCGCAACCGGAUUCUGAUCAAACACCGUUUGAGUAACCGACGCUUGAAUAAUUCCGGUGUUAAUACCGACAGACCCAUUAACUCUAGAAAUGUUCAGUGUAAAACUCCCUGCACCAUUUUGCUCUGUAGCUAAUGUUGGUUGAACUGGAUUCACUAUAGAUUCUAAAGAACCUAAAGGGUAAUACGAAUGCAAAACAUGGAACCUUAAUACAACUGCUUUCUUCUCCGCCGGCAACGAUUGAAAUUUCAUCGACGAUGACAUAUCGGAAAAUGCUUCAUCUGUUGGCACAAAAAGCGUUAAUCCCGCACCCCCUUCAUCUCUCUCGAAUUCCUCUUCUACCCCAGAAGCAGUAAGCAUUGAAGCUGCAACAUUGAAA
rnacentral:misc_RNA from 1 species